CAAACUGCUGUCCUGUGUGUGGAUGAAGAGGGGAGGAAAGAUGAACUGGAUCCCGAGCAAUGUUCUACGUUUUCAUUGGUACUGACUAAUUCUGGUGUCUAGCAGAGCUCUCGUCUCGCUACAAUGGAGUCCCUGUCCUGACUACCUCUGCAUCCGGCGCCGCAGGAGGUCACGGCAGGACUCGGUGGAAUUGCUGAUGUAAGGGGUAAGGAUCUGGGGAGCUCCUGGACUCACCGUUCCCAUCCCCUUUGUGGCCUGUGGCUUUUGUGUGAGCUCUUCCCACCCCGUGAGAACCGUCUUCCAGCUUCCUUGCUGAGCUUUCAGGGACAGGCCAGUUUCUGCUGUCGUCAGGGACUUUGCUGGCCUCUUCUCACACACUGGUGUGAAACAAGUGCAGGAGGGGGCCUAAUUCAUAUUGCCAGCAGGCUGGAAGUCAUAGAAUCCUAGAACACUUGAACAGGAAGGGAUCUCGAGAGGCCACCCAGUUCCGUCCCCGCCUCCCGCGGCAGGAUGAUGCACCAUCUAGAUCAUCCCUGCAUGAGCAAACAUGAGCCUCACAAGAAACACAGUCAUGUCCUUGUUGCCAGGUGGCAGGGUGCGGGUCACAUGGGCUCAGACCCAGACUGCUGAGUCAUAGAAUAAUAGGGGCAUAGAAUCCUAGGGCUGGAGGAGACCUCAGGAGUCAUCGAGUCCAGCCCCCUGCC